rnacentral:rRNA from 1 species
CGGGCGUCUUAACAUGCAAGUAGAACGCUGAAGAGAGGAGCUUGCUCUUCUUGGAUGAGUUGCGAACGGGUGAGUAACGCGUAGGUAACCUGCCUUGUAGCGGGGGAUAACUAUUGGAAACGAUAGCUAAUACCGCAUAACAAUGGAUGACACAUGUCAUUUAUUUGAAAGGGGCAAUUGCUCCACUACAAGAUGGACCUGCGUUGUAUUAGCUAGUAGGUGAGGUAACGGCUCACCUAGGCGACGAUACAUAGCCGACCUGAGAGGGUGAUCGGCCACACUGGGACUGAGACACGGCCCAGACUCCUACGGGAGGCAGCAGUGGGGAAUCUUCGGCAAUGGGGGCAACCCUGACCGAGCAACGCCGCGUGAGUAAAGAAGGUUUUCGGAUCGUAGAGCUCUGUUGUAAGUCAAGAACGAGUGUGAGAGUGGAAAGUUCACGCUGUGACGGUAGCUUACCAGAAAGGGACGGCUAA